UCAAACUUGGUCAUUUAGAGGAAGUAAAAGUCGUAACAAGGUUUCCGUAGGUGAACCUGCGGAAGGAUCAUUAAAAGUAAUAAGUGCUCCAAGCGCUCAUUAUGAAACCCAUCUGUGUAUUUUACCUGUUGCUUCCGUGGGGCGUUGGCUUCGGCCGCCUCCGAUGAGGGUGAGAGCCCAGAGUCGGGGAGUACCCACGGGAGGUAUUAUUAAAACCAUUGCUUUCAAUGAUGUCUGUCUGAAUUGUCUCAAUGAGAAAAGUUAAAACUUUCAACAACGGAUCUCUUGGUUCUCGCAUCGAUGAAGAACGCAGC
rnacentral:misc_RNA from 1 species